rnacentral:rRNA from 1 species
UACGAAGGGGGCUAGCGUUGCUCGGAAUCACUGGGCGUAAAGGGUGCGUAGGCGGGUCUUUAAGUCAGGGGUGAAAUCCUGGAGCUCAACUCCAGAACUGCCCUUGAUACUGAAGAUCUUGAGUGCGGGAGAGGUGAGUGGAACUGCGAGUGUAGAGGUGAAAUUCGUAGAUAUUCGCAAGAACACCAGUGGCGAAGGCGGCUCACUGGCCCGAUACUGACGCUGAGGCACGAAAGCGUGGGGAGCAAACAGG